rnacentral:misc_RNA from 1 species
GCGCUGCCUUCGUUUUUCAAAAUGGCGCAACCCAUGGUCAGCAUUUAAUAGUGCAGGCCGGGUUUUUCAAGGCGACAUAUAUCGGAAAAUUUACGAUUCUGUAAAGCUUUAGGGUGCUCGUAUGAAAAUCUGAGAAAUACGCCGGUGUGUGAAUAUGAUGUUGAAUGCUGUGCGUGCGGCCUUCAGCCAGCGGAUGCAUGUCAAGCCUCUGAUUAGUUGCAGCUAUCACGUGACGGCGAGACGCUUCUCCAAGUCCCAUGCGAGGCAGGGAGAUCCUUUGGCUCAAGAAUAUGAUGCUGUCAUCAUCGGUGCUGGCCACAAUGGACUGACUGCGGCGGCCUAUCUUCAAAAGGCGGGCCUGAAGACUCUGGUUUUGGAGAGGAGGCAUGUCACAGGAGGAGCUGCUGUCACUGAGGAGAUUGUGCCAGGUUUCAAGUUCUCCCGAUGUUCUUAUGUUCUAAGUCUCUUACGACCAGAUAUAUAUGAGGAUCUAGAACUCAAGAGGCACGGGUUGAAGGUUCACAUCCGGGAUUCUUAUGCCUUCACACCACUACUGGAAGACCCAGGACCAGGUGGCAGGCCUCGAUCUCUUCUCCUGUCCUGUGAUCAGAAUAAAACCUACGAGCAGAUUGCACAGUUCUCAGAAAAAGAUGCCAAGAGGUAUUUUGAGUAUGAACAUGAGAUGACAGCCAUUGCCCAAGCCCUUGGCCCUCUCAUAGAUGCCCCACCAGUGGAGCUGUCUGCAAUUUCUAAUGGCACAUUGAGAGAUCGAAUGGACAUAUGGCCAGGUGUAAAGGCAAUACUACAAACAGGAAAAGCUUUGGGGAAAAAUCUUCCCCAAUUUUAUGAGCUUGUGACUGCUCCAAUGGAAAAGAUCCUGGAUCGAUGGUUUGAAUCGGAACCUCUGAAGGCAACACUGGCCACAGACUCUGUGAUUGGUGCCAUGGUAACACCAAAAACCCCUGGAAGUGGCUAUGUCUUAAUCCAUCACGUGAUGGGAGAAGCAGAAGGUAUCAAGGGUGCCUGGGGUUAUGCUGAGGGGGGCAUGGGUGCCGUCUCUAGGAGUAUUGCCAAUGCUGCUGAGGCCCAUGGAGCCACCAUUCUGACAGAGAAGCCUGUGAGUACAGUGCUGUUGGAUUCUGAUCAGAGGGCCUGUGGAGUUGUCUUAGAGGACGGAACUGAAGUCCGCAGUAAGAUAGUGCUGUCCAAUGCAACGGCCAGAAUCACCUACUUGAAUCUGACCCCUGAGGAAGCUCUACCCAAGGAAUUCAUUGAGGAGGUCCAAGCCAUUGAUUACACUUCCCCAGUCACAAAGAUAAAUGUUGCUAUGGACAGACUGCCGGAUUUUAAGGCCAGCCCCAGCGGGAAGACAAAACAGCCUGGUCCCCAUCACACGUGCACCAUACACCUGAACUGCGAGACAACAGACUUGCUGGAGAAGGCCUACCAGCCCUGCCAGACGGGGCACAUCUCGGACCGGCCCAUGAUCGAGAUGUGCAUUCCCUCCUCCCUGGACCAGACCAUUGCCCCAGAGGGGUGCCAUGUCCUGUCAUUAUUCACCCAGUAUACCCCUUACCAUUUGGCUGAUGGGAAAAAAUGGGAUGAGGAUGCCAAGAAUGCAUAUGCUGAUAAGGUCUUUGACUGCAUUGAAGACUACUGCUCUGGUUUCAAGUCCAGUGUCAUUGGUAGAGACAUCUUACCUCCGCCUGAGUUGGAAAGGAUAUUUGGACUGACUGGAGGGAUGGUGGGCCAUUGAUCAGACAAAACCCUUGGAACCCAGUUUCAGGAAAACUGAUGACACGCUUACUUGAAGGAGCUCAAAAAAGAAAAGAAUGAACUCUUCCACGUCAGGAAAAAGUGCCAGCAGGAAACAGAAAUGCACAAGGGCGGAGAAAGGGAAGGGCCAGUGGCCCACAUCUACCAACCAGCUCCUUCAGAUGAUACAGGAAGUUUUCUUCUGACCCGGCAAGCAGCACCGGAAAGAACAAUGAAACUUUCUAAUUUCACUAAAGUAACAUUUUUCAUGGUGCAAUGUCUCUGGACCAGCUUUAUUUUGCCCGGCCUGUGAUGUCCUCAAGUUACAGGUCCCCGGUUGA